UAGGGAAUCUUCGGCAAUGGACGAAAGUCUGACCGAGCAACGCCGCGUGAGUGAAGAAGGUUUUCGGAUCGUAAAACUCUGUUGUUAGAGAAGAACAAGGACGUUAGUAACUGAACGUCCCCUGACGGUAUCUAACCAGAAAGCCACGGCUAACUACGUGCCAGCAGCCGCGGUAAUACGUAGGUGGCAAGCGUUGUCCGGAUUUAUUGGUCGUAAAGCGAGCGCAGGCGGUUUCUUAAGUCUGAUGUGAAAGCCCCCGGCUCAACCGGGGAGGGUAAUUGGAAACUGGGAGACUUGAGUGCAGAAGAGGAGAGUGGAAUUCCAUGUGUAGCGGUGAAAUGCGUAGAUAUAUGGAGGAACACCAGUGGCGAAGGCGGCUCUCUGGUCUGUAACUGACGCUGAGGCUCGAAAGCGUGGGGAGCAAACAGG
rnacentral:rRNA from 1 species